rnacentral:rRNA from 1 species
UACGGGAGGCAGCAGUGGGGAAUAUUGCACAAUGGGCGAAAGCCUGAUGCAGCUAUGCCGCGUGUAUGAAGAAGGCCUUAGGGUUGUAAAGUACUUUCAUCGGGGAGGAAAAAACAAAACUAAUAAUUUUAUUUCUUGACGUUACCCGAAAAAGAAGCACCGGCUAACUCCGUGCCAGCAGCCGCGGUAAUACGGAGGGUGCUAGCGUUAAUCAGAAUUACUGGGCGUAAAGAGCACGUAGGUGGUUUUUUUAAAGUCAGAUGUGAAAUCCCUGGGCUUAACCUAGGAACUGCAUUUUGAAACUGAAAUACUAGAGUAUCGUAGAGGGAGGUAGAAUUCUAGGUGUAGCGGUGAAAUGCGUAGAUAUCUGGAGGAAUACCUGUGGCGAAAACGGCCUCCUAAACGAAUACUGACACUGAGGUGCGAAAGCGUGGGGAGCAAACAGGGAUUAGAUACC